UUUCGUCAAUCGGAAUAAGUAAUAUCUGGGAUUGUUGAGUUUCUCAGCUCAAUUUCUGAUGCUGCUGUUUCAGAUUUUGACGAUAAAGAAACCCAGAACAAUUCAAUCGUUGUUCUCUCUCAUAUUCACUCUUUCCUUUGAAACCCUUCUCUUGAUCAGGUCUACACUCCGAGGAUUGCGCCUUAUGCGAGGAAUUUGAUGUGGUUCGUGAGCAAUGGGCUAAGUUUUUUACCAGCAAGUAUUUAUUAUUGGCUUUAGCGCGCUUGAUCGAGUUGGUUUAGUUGUUAUAGAAUAAAUUUUAUAUUAAAAUGUAUGUUUAUGUUGAAAUUGGAACAUAUAUUUAAAUGUAAUAUGUGCACUUUGGUUUUGGGAUAUAUAGUAUACAAAACUCCAGUUGUUGUUUUUAUAUUUGUUA